GACGAACGCUGGCGGCGUGCUUAACACAUGCAAGUCGAACGGAAAGGCCCUGCGUUUGUGGGGUGCUCGAGUGGCGAACGGGUGAGUAACACGUGAGUAAACUGCCCUUGACUUUGGGAUAACUUCAGGAAACUGGGGCUAAUACCGGAUAGGAGCUCCUGCUGCGUGGUGGGGGUUGGAAAGUUUCGGCGGUUGGGGAUGGACUCGCGGCUUAUCAGCUUGUUGGUGGGGUAGGGGCUUACCAAGGCUUUGACGGGUAGCCGGCCUGAGAGGGUGACCGGCCACAUUGGGACUGAGAUACGGACCAGACUCCUACGGGAGGCAGCAGUGGGGAAUAUUGCACAAUGGGCGGAAGCCUGAGGCAGCAACGCCGCGUGCGGGAUGACGGCCUUCGGGUUGUAAACCGCUUUCGCCUGUGACGAAGCGUGAGUGACGGUAAUGGGUAAAGAAGCACCGGCUAACUACGUG
rnacentral:rRNA from 1 species